GAUUAUUUAAAUGGCCGCGGUAUUUUGACCGUGCAAAGGUAGCAUAAUCAAUUGUCUAUUAAUUGUAGACUAGAAUGAAUGGUUGGACCUGAAAUUAAUUGUCUUUAUAUUAAUAUGAAUUUUGGGUUUUUAUGAAGAUUUAAAGAUGAAUUUACUAGACGAGAAGACCCUAUUAAGCUUUAUAUGUAGGAUUUAUUAAUGAUUAGUGAAAUGUAAUACUAAAAUAUUUUACUGGGGCGGUAAAUAAUAAUUAUAACAUUAUUUUUAAUAAAAACAUAUUGAUGAAUUAUGAUCCAAAAUUUUUGAUUAAUAGACUAAGUUACUAUAGGGAUAACAGCGUAAUUUUAUUUAGGAGUACAAAUCUAUGAUGAAGAUUGCGACCUCGAUGUUGGUUUAGGAUACCUUUAAAAAAUUUU
rnacentral:rRNA from 1 species